AACGCGAAGAACCUUACCCAGGCUCGAAAUGUAAUGGACGAUAUCAGAGAUGAUAUUUUCCGCAAGGACCGUUAUAUAGGUGCUGCAUGGCUGUCGUCAGCUCGUGCCGUGAGGUGUUUGGUUAAGUCCAGCAACGAGCGCAACCCUUAUCAUUAGUUGCCAACAUUUAGGUGGGGACUCUAGUGAGACUGCCUGGGUUAACCAGGAGGAAGGUGAGGAUGACGUCAAGUCCGCAUGGCCUUUAUGUCUGGGGCUACACACGUGCUACAAUGGUCGGUACAGAAGGCAGCAAGACCGCAAGGUGGAGCAAAUCCGUAAAGCCGAUCUCAGUUCAGAUUGUAGUCUGCAACUCGACUACAUGAAGCUGGAAUUGCUAGUAAUGACGUGUCAGCAACAACGUCGUGAAUACGUUCCCGGGCCUUGUA
rnacentral:rRNA from 1 species